UACGGAGGGUGCAAGCGUUAAUCGGAAUUACUGGGCGUAAAGCGCACGCAGGUGGCUGAGUCAGUCGAUUGUGAAAGCCCUGGGCUUAACCUGGGAAUUGCAGUCGAUACUACUCAGCUAGAGUAUGGGAGAGGGUAGUGGAAUUCCCGGUGUAGCGGUGAAAUGCGUAGAUAUCAGGAGGAACACCCGUGGUGUAGACGGCUUGCUGGACAGUCACUGACGCUGAGGCACGAAAGCGUGGGGAGCAAACAGG
rnacentral:rRNA from 1 species